AAGACUAUACUUUCAGGGAUCAUGUCUAUAGUUUGUUACUAAAAAAGAGGAUACCCAGCUGAAUUUGAAUUUCAGAUAAAGAAUGAAAUGUUAUUUACUAUAGACAUGUCCCAUGAAA
ensembl:snoRNA U3 Small nucleolar RNA U3